rnacentral:rRNA from 1 species
UACGUAGGGGGCAAGCGUUGUCCGGAAUCAUUGGGCGUAAAGGGCUCGUAGGCGGUUUGUCGCGUCGGGAGUGAAAUCCACUGGCUUAACUGGUGGCUUGCUUUCGAUACGGGCAGACUGGAGGUAUGCAGGGGAGAACGGAAUUCCUGGUGUAGCGGUGAAAUGCGCAGAUAUCAGGAGGACACCGGUGGCGAAGGCGGGAUCUCCGUGGGCCGAUGCUGACGCUGGAGGAGCGAAAAGCGUGGGGAGCGAACAGG